rnacentral:lncRNA from 1 species
UCACAAGCUGCGGGUGUACUGGAACGUGUACCACCACUCGGUGGGCUACACCAUCAUCAUCCUGGGCAUCGUCAACAUCUUCAAGGGCAUGAGCAUCCUGAACGUGGAGCAGAAGUGGAAGACGGGGUACAUCAUCGCAAUCGGCAUCCUGGGCGGUGUGGCCGUGGUGCUGGAGGUGAUCACCUGGAGCAUCGUGUUGAAGAGGAGGAAGACGGAGGACAAGGCCUACAACGGCGGCGCCUCCAACAACAACGGCCACCUGCCGCUCUCUAUGUGAUGUGAUUCUUUCCCGGUGACGGGCCAGAAUCUAUGAUUGUCUUGGUGGUUGUGUU